GGACGAGGUAACAGCUUCAUCUGUAGAGCGUUUACAGGUAACAGUUUCACCUGUAGGGCGUUUACAGGACGAGGUAACAGCUUCAUCUGUAGAGCGUUUACAGGUAACAGUUUCACCUGUAGGGCGUUUACAGGACGAGGUAACAGCUUCACCUGUAGAGCGUUUACAGGACGAGGUAACAGCUUCACCUGUAGAGCAUUUACAGGACGAGGUAACAGCUUCACCUGUAGGCUUCACCUGUAGAGCGUUUACAGGUAACAGCUUCACCUGUAGGGUGUUUACAGGACGAGGUAACAGCUUCAUCUGUAGAGCGUUUACAGGUAACAGCUUCAUCUGUAGAGCAUUUACAGGACGAGGUAACAGCUUCACCUGUAGAGCGUUUACAGGACGAGGUAACAGCUUCAUCUGUAGAGCGUUUACAGGACGAGGUAACAGCUUCACCUGUAGAGCGUUUACAGGACGAGGUAACAGCUUCACCUGUAGAGCGUUUACAGGAUGAGGUAACAGCUUCACCUGUAGAGUGUUUACAGGAGCUACAGCUCACACUAGAGCAGCAGCAUCUCAACAACCAGACUCCAUUCACAGAACAGAUAAUCAUAAAACUGGACAGAACCAGAACUGUCUGUUCGCCUUUCCAACAAUCACCAACAAGGUUUGGUCAGAAUAAUUUAAUACAGACUUUAAUUAGGAAGUUAUGUUUAUCAGCAAUGUAAAAUUAGCGUUUUUUGUCUACAUCUCAUUUAUUAUAAUAAUAAUUAUUAUUAAUAAUAUUAUUAUUAUUAUUAUUACUAAGAGGAACAUAUGGAUCAUUGAGUUUCUGAUCACAUUGAUCUCACAUCCUCUAAACCCUCUGACCUCCUCAGGACAGCAGCUCCAGCUCGGACAGUCUGGAGUUUGAGGCUGGUCCUGUAAGUUCAUGUUCUCCCUCCACGGUGCAUUGUGGGAAAUGGAGGCUGUGGGUUGUGGUUCUGGUUGUGGUUCUGUGUGAGGUGAAGUCCCAGAAGUUCAGCUGAGAUGGAAAUAAAAAGGAGCUGCACGUAUGAAGACUUCACCUCCAGUAAUUCUGUUUUUGUUUGAUCCAAUCAGCUGUUGGUGUUGGUGAGCCAAUCAGGACUGUGUGUCUGUGUGUGUCUGUGUGUUUGUGUGAUCCCUGAUCAAUAUCAAAGUCUGACAACAAUAUUGGUGUGAAGCAGUCGUCUUUAUCAAUAAAACUUAUGAAGCAAAAACAAUUUAAAAUGGUUAAAGUAGAUAAAAGAUCAACAGAUUAUUAAUCGUUAUAGACUGUAAGUGGUCAGGUGACUUCAGGCCAAACAGUCCGAUAUAGAUAUGAUGACAUCAUAAAUGGGUUCAAUAUUUUCAGAUCUCUGAUUGGUGAGUUUUUAUGACUCAUUGAUCUCCUUUUGAAUUUGAUUGGAUGUUUUUAUCUUUAUGUUUAUUUAUUGAUACAGAGCACAAUGCUAACUAGCUAAUGUACAUCCAUCCUUGUUGAAGAUGCUUUCAGAUGCAACCACUGAUCAGCACUAAUACUGUGAGCACUGCGAGUGGGGGGGGUAUAAGGGCUCCUGUCAGUCUGGGGGGGGGGGCGGGUAUGUCAGGCAGACAGUGAACAGAGUUGAUGUGUUAGAAACAGGAAAAAUGGGCAGCGUGAGGAUCUGAUCCACUUUGACAAGAACCACAUUGUGAUGGACGACUGGGUCAGAACAUCUCCAAACCUGCAGCUCUUGUGGGGGGUUCCCGGUCUGCAGAGGUCAGUACCUAUCAAAAGUGGUCCAAGGAAGGAACAGAACCGGAGACAGGGUCAUGGGGGGCCGAGGCUCAUUGAUGCAGGUGGGGAGUGAAGGCUGGCCCGUGUGGUCCGAUCCAACAGACGAGCUACUGUAGCUCAAGCUGCUGAAACAGUUCAUGCUGGUUCUGAUAGAAAGGGGUCAGAACACACAGUGCAGUCUGUUGGUCUGGGACCAGUCAGGGAGUCCAGUGCUCACAGUGUUAGUGCUGAUCAGUGGAUAAUGACAGUGUCUUUA
rnacentral:lncRNA from 15 species